rnacentral:rRNA from 1 species
GAACUUAAGCAUAUCAAUAAGCGGAGGAAAAGAAACUAACAAGGAUUCCCCUAGUAACUGCGAGUGAAGCGGGAAAAGCUCAAAUUUAAAAUCUGGUGGUCCCGAGUUGGCUGCCCGAGUUGUAAUCUAGAGAAGUGCUUUCCGCGCUGGACCGCGUACAAGUCUCUUGGAACGGAGCGUCGUAGAGGGUGACAAUCCCGUCUUUGACACGGACUGCCAGGGCUUAUGUGAUGCGCUCUCGAAGAGUCGAGUUGUUUGGGAAUGCAGCUCAAAAUGGGUGGUAAAUUCCAUCUAAAGCUAAAUAUGGGCGAGAGACCGAUAGCGAACAAGUACCGUGAGGGAAAGAUGAAAAGAACUUUGAAAAGAGAGUUAAACAGUACGUGAAAUUGUUGAAAGGGAAACGAUUCAAGUCAGUCGCGUUGGCCGGUAAUCAACCCUUGCGAAGGCGGGGGCUUACUUUCCGUCUGACGGGUCAGCAUCAAUUUUGACCGUCAGAUAAAGGUUUGGGGAACGUGGCAUCUUCGGAUGUGUUAUAGCCCCUUGUCAGAUGUGACGGUUGGGAUUGAGGAACUUGGCACGCCCGCAAAGGGUCGGGGCUUUUUGCCCACGUAACGUGCUUUGGAUGCUGGCAUAAUGGCUUGAGCCGACCCGUCUUGAAACACGGACCAAGGAGUCUAACAUGCCUGCGAGUGUUUGGGUGGCAAACUCGAGCGCGAAGUGAAAGUGAAACUUGUCGAGAUCUCUGUCGUGGGGAGCACCGACGCCCGGACCUGACCUUUUGUGAAGGAUCCGCGGUUGAGCAUGCAUGUUGGGACCCGAAA